rnacentral:rRNA from 1 species
UAGUGGCGACGGGUGAGUAACACGUGGGCAAUCUGCCCUGCACUCUGGGACAAGCCCUGGAAACGGGGUCUAAUACCGGAUACUCACUGCCUUGGGCAUCCAAGGUGGUGGAAAGCUCCGGCGGUGCAGGAUGAGCCCGCGGCCUAUCAGCUAGUUGGUGAGGUAAUGGCUCACCAAGGCGACGACGGGUAGCCGGCCUGAGAGGGCGACCGGCCACACUGGGACUGAGACACGGCCCAGACUCCUACGGGAGGCAGCAGUGGGGAAUAUUGCACAAUGGGCGAAAGCCUGAUGCAGCGACGCCGCGUGAGGGAUGACGGCCUUCGGGUUGUAAACCUCUUUCAGCAGGGAAGAAGCGAGAGUGACGGUACCUGCAGAAGAAGCGCCGGCUAACUACGUGCCAGCAGCCGCGGUAAUACGUAGGGCGCAAGCGUUGUCCGGAAUUAUUGGGCGUAAAGAGCUCGUAGGCGGCUUGUCACGUCGGUUGUGAAAGCCCGGGGCUUAACCCCGGGUCUGCAGUCGAUACGGGCAGGCUAGAGUUCGGUAGGGGAGAUCGGAAUUCCUGGUGUAGCGGUGAAAUGCGCAGAUAUCACGAGGAACACCGGUGGCGAAGGCGGAUCUCUGGGCCGAUACUGACGCUGAGGAGCGAAAGCGUGGGGAGCGAACAGGAUUAGAUACCCUGGUAGUCCACGCCGUAAACGGUGGGCACUAGUGUGGGCAACAUUCCACGUUGUCCGUGCGCAGCUACGCAUUAGUGCC